UACGUAGGGGGCAAGCGUUGUCCGGAUUCAUUGGGCGUAAAGAGCGUGUAGGCGGCCAGGUAGGUCGGUUGUGAAAACUGGAGGCUCAACCUUCAGAGGUCGACCGAAACCAUCUGGCUAGAGUAUGGUAGGGGCAGAGGGAAUUCCUGGUGUAGCGGUGAAAUGCGUAGAUAUCAGGAAGAACAUCGGUGGCGAAGGCGCUCUGCUGGACCAUAACUGACACUCAGGGACGAAAGCUAGGGGAGCGAAUGGG
rnacentral:rRNA from 1 species